rnacentral:rRNA from 1 species
GACGAACGCUGGCGGUGUGCUUCACACAUGCAAGUCGAACGAGGUAGCAAUACCUAGUGGCGGACGGGUGAGUAACGCGUGGGAAUCUGCCUUUAGAUGGGGGAGUAACGGGCCGAAAGGUCCGCUAAUACCGCAUAUGCCGCAAGGUGAAAGGAGUAAUCCGUCUAAAGAUGAGCCCGCGUCCGAUUAGCUAGUUGGUAGAGUAAGAGCCUACCAAGGCGACGAUCGGUAGCUGGUCUGAGAGGAUGAUCAGCCACAAUGGGACUGAGACACGGCCCAU